rnacentral:tRNA from 1 species
UGUUGAGUGGUGUAAUGGUGCAGCAUACCAGUCUCUGAAACUGGUGGUUUUGGUUCGAAUCCAAACUCAAUGA